GAGGGAUAUUGCACAAUGGGCGAAAGCCUGAUGCAGCGACGCCGCGUGAGGGAUGACGGUCUUCGGAUUGUAAACCUCUGUCCUUGGUGAAGAAGAAAGUGACGGUAGCCAAGGAGGAAGCCACGGCUAACUACGUGCCAGCAGCCGCGGUAAUACGUAGGUGGCAAGCGUUGUCCGGAAUUACUGGGUGUAAAGGGAGCGCAGGCGGGCUUGUAAGUCAGCUGUGAAAUUCAAGGGCUUAACCCUUGACAUGCAGUUGAAACUACAGGUCUUGAGUGAAGUAGAGGUAGGCGGAAUUCCGAGUGUAGCGGUAAAAUGCGUAGAUAUUCGGAGGAACACCGGUGGCGAAGGCGGCCUACUGGGCUUUUACUGACGCUGAGGCUCGAAAGUGUGGGGAGCAAAC
rnacentral:rRNA from 1 species